rnacentral:misc_RNA from 1 species
AUGCAAUAAAAUAUGUAAUCUAAUCAGUUUUUUUUUUGUAAAUAAAAUUCAGUUUCGAACACUCACCUUAUCUCCAAAUCCUUUUACCUAUUUAAUUUUAAUAGUAAAAAUUUCUGUUAUCACCUUUUAAGAAAAAAUCUUGAAAUCUAUCUACGCAAAUACUUAAAAAUAAUAUUUCAGAAAUAUUCAAUUUUUAAGAUAUAGAAACGAAUUCUAAUAUUGACAAUCCGCUUAAACAACAGCAACGAUUUGAUCUUUUUUCAAAAAAUUUUGGUGAAUAUGUGGUCAACGGCUUUUAUGUUUAUUUUGGUUUUAACACUAAGUUUUGGAAAUGACGAUUUGAUCGUGAAUUUAUCUGCUGGAAAUAUACGGGGACAUAUAUUAAAAACCUAUGAAGGAAAUAUUUACUACGCUUUCCAAGAAAUUCCAUAUGCUGCACCAGCUGUUGGAGAAAAUAGGUUUCAGCUUCCCAAACCUCCUGAACCCUGGAAUGGAAUCCUUAAUACCACUAAGAAUACUAAGGUGUGUCAACAGGCUAACAAGUAUAAAUUAGAAAAGACUGAGGACUGUCUAUAUUUAAAUGUAUAUUCACCUGUGAAACCAGGAGGUAACGAUAAGCUACCAGUACUCUUUUGGAUACAUGGUGGAGGACUCAAUUGGGGAUCUGGCACUUUUGAUGAUUACGGUCCAAAAUAUAUCAUGGAUUAUGGAAUUGUUGUUGUUGCUAUUAACUACAGGCUCAACGCAUUUGGAUUUGCUUCUACUGAUGACGAUGUAAUACCUGGCAACCUUGGACUUAAAGAUCAACGAUUUGCUCUAGAAUGGGUCAACCAACAUAUAAAUCUUUUUGGUGGUGAUCCAGAUCAUGUAACAAUUGCUGGUGAAAGUUCUGGUUCAGCAGCAGUAGGUUUGUUGGUUAUGGGGAAUUGGAACGGAGAAAAAGAAUUAUUCCAUGCUGCAAUACAAGAAAGUGGAUCAAUGAUUGGUGGAACUCUACAGAAAAAUGCAAAAGAAAAUAUUAUCGGUUUAGCGAAAUAUCUUGAUCCUACAUUUGACUCUGAAGAGUCAGAAGAUAUUCUAAAAGUUCUCAAAAAGGCUUCUGCAGAAGAUAUUAUUAAGGCUGGUCGUACUUAUGGCAACAUGAUAGAAAAAACUGGUUACUAUUCACUUCUUCCCUUACAAAGUUUUAUGGAUGGCAACUUUAAGAAAGUUCCCAUGAUGAUUGGCUUUAAUUCCGAAGAGUGGAUAAAAUACGCUAAAAAUCGAAGUAACGGAACUUUAAAAGGAUUUGAUGAUAAUCCAGAACUGCUCAUUCACAAAAAUUUAAAUAUGUCGCCAGAAAAUCGACAUAUGGCAGGAAGGUUAAUGAAGAAAGUUUAUACAUCAACGACUUUUGUCAACGAUUUUGGAGCUUAUAUAAGACUACCAACAGGAACAACGCAACUUUAUUGCAAGGACUUGAUAAUGAUCCAAGUCUCCUCAUACAUGCCAAUCUCAAUAUGUCUCCGGAGAAUCGAACUCGUGCCGGAGUUCUGAUGAAACAAGUUUAUACUAACAGAACUUUUAUGGAAGAUUUUGCUGCAUAUAUUAAAUGGAGCAGCGAUCAAUCUUUUUCAACGCCUACUGGAAAACAGAUAGAGCUCGGAUGUGCUCAUGCACCCUAUUUUGUGUACCAGUUCGCCUAUAAGGGAGAUUUAGGUGGGAUGAUGGAUGACAUCUACAUUGUUCCCGGAGCUGAAAGAGUUGGACACAUGGAAGAUCUCCAUUAUUGGUGGGAAUUUCUAAAUAAUAGUGAUAUGAAUCAAUUUCCCGAA